UAUGUAGGCGGAUAGGGAAGUCAGAAGUGAAAUCCCGGGGCUUAACCCCGGAACUGCUUUUGAAACUCCCUAUCUAGAGUUCUGGAGAGGCAAGGGGAAUUCCGAGUGUAGAGGUGAAAUUCGCAGAUAUUCGGAGGAACACCAGUGGCGUAGGCGCCUUGCUGGACAGAUACUGACGCUGAGAUACGAAAGCCGUGGGAGCAAACA
rnacentral:rRNA from 1 species